rnacentral:lncRNA from 1 species
GAGCAGGUAGUGCGUCCGUCUUUAUAGGGGCGUGGCCCUGUAUUCACAGCCGGCAAACGCUGCUACUUCCUCAGAACGCAUGAACCUGUAAUGGGGGAUGGACUGAGGGGGGCACGCAUAUAGGUUAGGGUACUCUCCUGAUCCUUCGGGGUUGGGGGGCGUACCGGACAGUCGGCAACUGUGCAUGGCCCUCCGGGGCCGGCCUUUUGCCCAGCAAUGGACCUGACGAUACUGAAAGCAUGUUUGGGGCUGGUAUCCUGGGACCUUCACGUGGUGGCCCUGUUUAAACCAAUCUUACCAGGAUGUGCUUCCAGAAGGGUUACAUCUAAAAACAAGGUACAAGCUACCACGGAUGAAAAGCUUACUGGAGAGAAGAGGGAAAGUAGCGAUGAACCAAUGACUUCAGGGGAAUCCGAUCGUCCAAUCCAAGUUUAACCCCCCCCCCUCCCCACUGGAGAUGAGAGGCUGUAGAGGAAUUUGUUGUGGUGACAAUGAAUCAUUCUAAUCAAAGUCAGUAUGGGCUCUGAGAAACACGCAGGAGACAAGAUCUGCCGCAGUCAUUGUUAGCAAGAACUACCAGUUUAAUAAGGUGGACCACACAGACAGUACGAUAGCCUUGCAGAGGAGAGCGUUUCUCAUGAGUGGAUUUACAACUGACUGACCAAUGAACCUUCAUUGGAACUUUUUGAAGUAGUGGUGGUGGGAAAGCUAGGUUUUCAGGGAGGUUGCUGACAGCCAGGUGAUGACCAGCAUCUUUCACCAGUAGUCUCCUGGUCUUCCACUGCAUCUCAAAUUUCUUGCCACCACAAACGGAUGUUUCAGUGAAGUAGUUUUGCUCCAACCUCUCUGCCAUCUGCCAUGCGAUGGGCGCUAGAGCACAUGCCGUUGAGGAAGUCGGUAGCUAGGGGUGGAGGAGCACAGUUAAGUUAACAAAGCUGAUGUUUGAUGGUAGCUACUAGAGAUCCUGGAUGCUGACUCUGCCUAGGACCUGAGUAACCUGAGUAAGUCAUCAAACGCCUGUUAUCAGAACCACAAGAAGAGGAACGCAUGUGUUUCAGGUUUUCCUGUUCUUACCAAGAAGACGUUGCUCUUGAUGCUGGAAUGCCCUGAAUCUGCACCACUUUGUGAUGACAUCAAACAUCAGACAAAAUACAUCCAAGGUGCCUUGGGCCUAUUUAGAAUGUACUAGGCUGUUAAAUGAGAAAAAAGGUUAUAUGGGCAAUUCCAUGCUGGUGGAGACACAAGACCAAACAAUUAUUUUACGGUUUGUUUAAGUCCGAUUUGCUGAAGGGACACAAUAUAUUUUGGCGUUUUGAAAACUGAAAUAGUUUUGUCCCAUGCGCGCACUGUUUGGUGAGUUACGGUACACCAUCACAUCAAAGUCUGCAAUGACGUCAUGAUGACUUAUGGAUGCACUGGUAAGGAAUUUUGAAUAAGUCUUUUGCUAUCUAUUCAGUAAUAUUUUCUCUCAAAUUCUUAUGUUACCAUUUUGAAGGCAUCUUUGUGAAAAUGGAUAUUAUUUUUAAGAUGUCAAUAUAAGUCAGAUUUUGUUUGUAUAAUAAAAUACAAAUUUAAUUAUUCAUAAGUCGCCAAAACAGAUUUUUUCUUUGUAAAUACCUACAUUUUCUGACUAAUGAAUAAUUUUGUUACAGAUUUCUUAGCUUGAGUCCUGACAAGUUUAUUUAAAAAAAUUAUUUUUUUUUCAUUUUAGUUUUAAUGCUUAGGCCAGCUGUGAAAUAUUGUAAUGUCAGCCACAUGUAAUGUCAUGCAGUCACAAUCUCUUAGCGUAACGUAGUGCCAGUCGCAUUAUUGCACAGUCCGUAGUUGAGGAAAAUACAAGUACACAUGUUAUUUAAGUCCAUACACAUACAAGUAGUAAACUCUUUGAACCAAAAUGCUACUGAGUGCCAAGCCACUGUCUGAGCAGCUGAUAUAUUUUUCACAAAAUCCUGUCUUUUUUUAAAAUUUAAAUUUGACAUCUGUAUUAACGCUUUGAUAAAAUGAAAAAUGUAUGUUUUGCUUUUGGGCAUUAGUAGUCUAUCAUUGUCUAUUCUGAUGGGGUGGGGUGGAGGAGUCUUCCCUGUGAGAACUGAAUUAUUGUUUGGCACCAAAUAGUUUGAUUUUCAUAAUUCCCUAUUUAUUACUAAACAUUGGCUAACUUAUUUCGUUUGUUUUGUUGUUGGUACAUUGGAUAACUUUGGUAUUGCUAGAAAAAUAGCAAUUAAAAUUGAGUUAAUGUAAAAACAUUUAUACAAAUGGAUAAUUCUGUUGAAUAUUUUAUAUUUUUCAGGAAAGAUGUACAGCCAAGUUGCAACUUACUGCAGCAGAGAGAAAGACACAGCAGAAACAAAACUUGGAGGAAAAGGAUUGUAUGAAGACCACAAGAGGAACAAAUGAAAGAGGAAUAGACAGAAAAGAACAGAACAUGAGAAGUUUCAUAAGUGAGCAGGAAUAAAACCAUGAGAAAAAAUUAAAGUAGUGAAAAUUGAGCAUGGAAUUUGUUAAACAUGUUGAGACCUCAACAUUUUUAGUAACACAGAAAAUAUGAUGCAAGUCUAUUUACACAGCUUUAAUUGGAGACAGCUGUAAUAUUAUUACGGUCGCUUUGCAAAAUUCCUUGCCUAAUUAGCUUUAUGAUAUGUUACUUAUUGGUGUUGAUGGUAUAUACAGGUAGGUUUUUAUUAUGUUUUUGUUUUUCAUAAAUUCUAAAACUCUCUUGAGUUUGGAUAUUGAAAAAAAUUUUGGUUCUUGCUUUCAGUCACUGUUGGAAAUUAUAAAGAAAAUAAAACUUGACCUGAACAGAAACUUUUCAAUACACAGUGUCUCAUUUCUCAAUUAUCAUGAUUAUAAAAACUUUAAUUUUACAUCUUUGUACAUGUAUAAAGUGUUAUACUGGCUAUAAAUUAUAUGAAAAAUAAAAUAUGACAUCCAUUGGCCUUUAACAUGAAGAAAAAUUUCAAAUUUGCUCUAUCAUUUGUUUCCUGUGUUGCUUUUCAUGUAAUGUCAGUCACAAUAAAGAAAGAGUUCUGUAAGCGAAGGACAGAAAAGAUCAAUGCGUCUACAGGUUGAAAAAUGUAAAAACACUUCAUCCCCCCAAAAAUGAUGCGUAUUGGAAUUAUAUGAUGCGGCUGAUUAGUGUA